CGUGUAGCCGGGAAGGCAAGUCAGAUGUGAAAUCUGGAGGCUCAACCUCCAAACUGCAUUUGAAACUGCUUUCUUGAGUAUCGGAGAGGUAAUCGGAAUUCCUUGUGUAGCGGUGAAAUGCGUAGAUAUAAGGAAGAACACCAGUGGCGAAGGCGGAUUACUGGACGACAACUGACGGUGAGGCGCGAAAGCGUGGGGAGCAAACA
rnacentral:rRNA from 1 species